UGUCACUACUGAGCGCCUGAACUGAACUGAACUGCCUCUCAAACUGGAGACUGUGUUUCUGCUUUGUCUUCCUCUCCUGGCAAACUCCUGUGGUCACCCUCACCACCACCACCCCCACCCCCCGGCCCUGUUGGUCUCAACCCUUCUAAUCGUCCCACUGCUAAUAUGCGCCGACCUGGAGUCUUUGGAGUCUCCCUGGGCCUAAGGGGCUGUGCCACUGCAGUCUAACCAGUGCCCUUCCAGAAAGGUCUGUUGCUUUGUGGAUGCAGAGACCCCAGCCUUGAAUGAUACCAUCUGUAAAGACCAGCAGUUGGGGCCAAAAGAAAGAAACUUGGGCCUUUGUUGGAUCUAUUCCCGAAGGGAUGUGGAGCCCCCUCUCCAGGAAGCCCACAGAACCUUGACCUCUUCCAGGAAGAAGCCUCCUAUGCCCAGGAAUUGGGGAAGCCUCGCUGCGACCCGAAGUCAUGGUGGGCAGGAGGGCGAAGGGGCACAUCAGCUUCCACGGGAGGUGAGGCUCUUAGGAGAGGAACAUGCAAGCCUGGAAAAGUGAAGAAAUGUACGGUGACUGAUUUGGGGGCAUAUCAAGCGCAUAGGAGCCAGUUUCAAAGGAGUCCCACUGCCAAAUCAGGAUUCCAGAUGCAAGUGAUAGAAGACUCUUUCUUGAGAGUCCCUUAGACUGCGAGAUCAAACGAGUCGAUCCUAAAUGAAAUCGACCCUGAAUAUUCGUUGG